GGGGAUGACAGGCUUCGACGGGAAAGGCUGGUCCUGGACUGCAAGCCGAGCACGCUUUACAACUCGUAAAACUGGAAGCACACGCAUAAGUGCCAAUAGCACGAAUGAUUAUGCCGCUCUUCCUCUCGCUGCAUAAAGCGAGUUGAAAAGUGGAGGUUCCUGAGAACAGGAAACCCGUCUGCCUCGACCGCUCGUUGGCCGGGCGAGUGACAGGCGUCAUAAACGCCAACGUGCUCCUCCUCGACGUCGAUAGGGGAGGCUAAGAGGCUCUUUCGGGAGCCAUCGACUGACGACUCAGAUAACCCGGUCGGCCGGGGUGCUGGUCGUGAGAUCUAAUAGGCUGACUAAGCUUGUAGAGGUUUAGAGGUCGAAUUUUUCGGACGCGGGUUCGAUUCCCGCCAUCUCCACUC
rnacentral:tmRNA from 1 species